CGCGUAGGCGGUUCGUUAAGUUGCUGGUGAAAUCCCGGGGCUCAACUCCGGGGCUGCCAGUAAGACUGGCGAGCUAGAGCACGGUAGAGGCGGAUGGAAUUCCCGGUGUAGCGGUGGAAUGCGUAGAUAUCGGGAAGAAUACCGGUGGCGAAGGCGUUCCGCUGGCCGUUGCUGACGCUGAGGCGCGACAGCGUGGGGAGCAAACA
rnacentral:rRNA from 1 species